AUUGAACGCUGGCGGCAGGCCUAACACAUGCAAGUCGAACGGUAACAGGAAGCAGCUUGCUGCUUUGCUGACGAGUGGCGGACGGGUGUGUAAUGUCUGGGAAACUGCCCGAUGGAGGGGGUUAACUACUGGAAACGGUAGCUAAUACCGCAUAACGUCGCAAGACCAAAGAGGGGGACUGUAGGGCCGCUUGCCAUCGGCUGUCCCCAGAAUGGAUUAGCUAGUAGGUGGGGUAACGGCUCACCUAGGCGACGAUCCCUAGCUGGUCUGAGAGGAUGACCAGCCACACUGGAACUGAGACACGGUCCAGACUCCUACGGGAGGCAGCAGUGGGGAAUAUUGCACAAUGGGCGCAAGCCUGAUGCAGCCAUGCCGCGUGUAUGAAGAAGGCCUUCGGGUUGUAAAGUACUUUCAGCGGGGAGGAAGGGAGUAAAGUUAAUACCUUUGCUCAUUGACGUUACCCACAGAAGAAGCACCGGCUAACUCCGUG
rnacentral:rRNA from 1 species